AAAGUUUGGCCCAUCCAAGAUCCCGCCUCAAAAGUUAGGUCGUACGCUUUCGACCAAGGCUGGAAGGAGUUGGCCAUAGGCACUCCUCAUACUCCCCGCGAAGGCCUGAGGCUCGUCACAGAAGAUGGCGAAAUCACCACCAUUGUGGAGGUGAAACCCCGCGCCACCUUCCACAAGCUUCUGAUCCGCUUCGAGAAUGGUGACGUCGAGGAGGUCAUUUUCAAGCCCCACACUAUGAUGCUCAUGGAGCCUGAGGGCUGAUGAGUUGUGGCUCAGCUUUUUCCCGCUCUGAGCGAGCAAGCUCUUUCUUCUCU
rnacentral:misc_RNA from 1 species